rnacentral:rRNA from 1 species
UACGUAGGGCGCAAGCGUUGUCCGGAAUUAUUUGGCGUAAAGAGCUCGUAGGCGGCUUGUCACGUCGAUUGUGAAAGCCCGAGGCUUAACCUCGGGUCUGCAGUCGAUACGGGCUAGCUAGAGUGUGGUAGGGGAGAUCGGAAUUCCUGGUGUAGCGGUGAAAUGCGCAGAUAUCAGGAGGAACACCGGUGGCGAAGGCGGAUCUCUGGGCCAUUACUGACGCUGAGGAGCGAAAGCGUGGGGAGCGAACAGG